CACUAGGCUACGCUGCCACCCCUACACUCUAACCACUAGGCUACCUGCCGCCCCACCACUCUAACCACUAGGCUACCUGCCGCCCCUCCACUCUAACCACUAGGCUACCUGCCUGUCCCUACACUCUAACCACUAGGCUACGCUGCCACCCCUACACUCUAACCACUAGGCUACCCUGCCGCCCCUACACUCUAACCACUAGACUACCUGCCGCCCCUACACUCUAACCACUAGGCUACCCUGCCGCCCCUACACUCUAACCACUAGGCUACGCUGCCGCCCCUACACUCUAACCACUAGGCUACCUGCCGCCCCACCACUCUAACCACUAGGCUACCUGCCGCCCCUACACUCUAACCACUAGACUACUUGCCGCCCCUACACUCUAACCACUAGGCUACCCUGCCGCCCCUACAUUCUAACCACUAGGCUACCUGCCUGUCCCUACACUCUAACCACUAGGCUACCCUGCCGCCCCUCCACUCUAACCACUAGGCUACGUGCCUGUGCCUACACUCUAACCACUAGGCUACGCUGCCGCCCCUACACUCUAACCACUAGGCUACCUGCCGCCACUCCACUCUAACCACUAGGCUACCUGCCUGUCCCUACCCUCUAACCACUAGGCUACCUGCCGCCCCUAC
ensembl:lncRNA